AUUUUGCAUUGAUGGGUGAGGAAGGUGCAGGCGAGAGUGAGAAAAAGAACUAAAAGCAGACCGUGGCACAUCAGAAGGCAUGUCGUUGACGCCUUGCCGUAGUGAGCCCGGGUGGACCGCGAGGUUCGCUGUACUUGGGGGCGCAGAAGCUGGACCUCAAUAUGAAUUAUUCAGAUGCUGCCUUUGAUUCUGCACAGCCAAGAAAAACUGACAUGACAGCCACAGAAUACAGGGACUACUCCUUUCCUUGUGUCCUCCAAUGACAACUCUAAAGUCUGUAAGGUAAAAGCAGGCAUCCAGUGUUCUUUGCUUACCAUCUUAGCUAACAAGGUAAGCUAGUAUUUACUGGGGAUGGAAUGGCAAGUUUGUUCCUUUAUGAAUAGUUUGCUAAAUUUGAUCUAUACUUGGUCUGGCAACUAGUCAUUCUCCAUGGGAUACCAGAAUUAAUUCUGGCAAAGAAGUUCCUUUACCCAAGAAGUACUGGGGUUGUUAGAGCUGCACUGAUAACCAAAACAAGUACUGAAAAUGCAGAAAAAACCUUGUAUUAAAGUCAUCUGGUAACUUCCAAAUAACCCUCUCAGGCUCUGCAAGUGCAGACAACAGCAUGCAAUAAAAUGGAAACUUCUGCUCUAAAUUAGACAUGCAGAGUUACGCGCCAAGUCAUGGUAGCAUACAGUAUGACAGACUCUGAGAUUGGGUACACAUUGAACUAAUUAUGCUUAGUUCAAUGAGGCAACAGAAAGGUGCUGUAUGUAGAUAUAUUAUGUUAGUAUGUUCAUGGUAUCA